rnacentral:rRNA from 1 species
CCUACGGGUGGCAGCAGUGAGGAAUAUUGGUCAAUGGGCGCGAGCCUGAACCAGCCAAGUAGCGUGAAGGAUGACUGCCCUACGGGUUGUAAACUUCUUUUAUAAAGGAAUAAAGUGAGGCACGUGUGCCUUUAUGUCUGUACUUUAUGAAUAAGGAUCGGCUAACUCCGUGCCAGCAGCCGCGGUAAUACGGAGGAUCCGAGCGUUAUCCGGAUUUAUGGGGUUUAAAGGGAGCGUAGAUGGGUUGUUAAGUCAGUUGUGAAAGGUUGCGGCUCAACCGUAAAAUUGCAAUUGAUACUGGCAGCAUGGAGUACAGGUGAGGUAGGUGGAAUUCGUGGUGUAGCGGUGAAAUGCUUAGAUAUCACGAAGAACUCCGAUUGCGAAGGCAGCUUACUAAACUGCCACUGACAUUGAUGCUCGAAAGUGUGGGUAGCAAACAGGAUUAGAUACCCCAGUAGUC